rnacentral:rRNA from 1 species
CGUUGCACUAUCGUUAACUGAAUACAUAGGUUAACGAGGCGAACCGGGGGAACUGAAACAUCUAAGUACCCCGAGGAAAAGAAAUCAACCGAGAUUCCCCCAGUAGCGGCGAGCGAACGGGGAGCAGCCCGGAGUCUGAAUCAGCUUGUGUGUUAGUGGAACGGUCUGGAAAGUCCGACGGUACAGGGUGAUAGUCCCGUACACGAAAAUGCACAUGCUGUGAACUCGAAGAGUAGGGCGGGACACGUGGUAUCCUGUCUGAAUAUGGGGGGACCAUCCUCCAAGGCUAAAUACUCCUGACUGACCGAUAGUGAACCAGUACCGUGAGGGAAAGGCGAAAAGAACCCCGGCGAGGGGAGUGAAAAAGAACCUGAAACCGUGUACGUACAAGCAGUGGGAGCCUCUUUAUGGGGUGACUGCGUACCUUUUGUAUAAUGGGUCAGCGACUUAUAUUCUGUAGCAAGGUUAACCGUAUAGGGGAGCCGAAGGGAAACCGAGUCUUAACUGGGCGUUAAGUUGCAGGGUAUAGACCCGAAACCCGGUGAUCUAGCCAUGGGCAGGUUGAAGGUUGGGUAACACUAACUGGAGGACCGAACCGACUAAUGUUGAAAAAUUAGCGGAUGACCUGUGGCUGGGGGUGAAAGGCCAAUCAAACCGGGAGAUAGCUGGUUCUCCCCGAAAGCUAUUUAGGUAGCGCCUCGUGAACUCAUCUUCGGGGGUAGAGCACUGUUUCGGCUAGGGGGCCAUCCCGGCUUACCAACCCGAUGCAAACUACGAAUACCGAAGAAUGUUAUCACGGGAGACACACGGCGGGUGCUAACGUCCGUCGUGAAGAGGGAAACAACCCAGACCGCCAGCUAAGGUCCCAAAGUCAUGGUUAAGUGGGAAACGAUGUGGGAAGGCACAGACAGCCAGGAUGUUGGCUUAGAAGCAGCCAUCAUUUAAAGAAAGCGUAAUAGCUCACUGGUCGAGUCGGCCUGCGCGGAAGAUGUAACGGGGCUAAACCAUGCACCGAAGCUGCGGCAGCGACACUAUGUGUUGUUGGGUAGGGGAGCGUUCUGUAAGCCGUUGAAGGUGUGCUGUGAGGCAUGCUGGAGGUAUCAGAAGUGCGAAUGCUGACAUAAGUAACGAUAAAGCGGGUGAAAAGCCCGCUCGCCGGAAGACCAAGGGUUCCUGUCCAACGUUAAUCGGGGCAGGGUGAGUCGACCCCUAAGGCGAGGCCGAAAGGCGUAGUCGAUGGGAAACAGGUUAAUAUUCCUGUACUUGGUGUUACUGCGAAGGGGGGACGGAGAAGGCUAUGUCAGCCGGGCGACGGUUGUCCCGGUUUAAGCAUGUAGGCGGAGGUUCCAGGUAAAUCCGGUACCUUAUUAACGCUGAGGUGUGAUGACGAGGCACUACGGUGCUGAAGUGAUAAAUGCCCUGCUUCCAGGAAAAGCCUCUAAGCAUCAGGUAACACGAAAUCGUACCCCAAACCGACACAGGUGGUCAGGUAGAGAAUACCAAGGCGCUUGAGAGAACUCGGGUGAAGGAACUAGGCAAAAUGGUGCCGUAACUUCGGGAGAAGGCACGCUGAUAUGUAGGUGAAGCCCCUGCGGGCGGAGCUGAAAUCAGUCGAAGAUACCAGCUGGCUGCAACUGUUUAUUAAAAACACAGCACUGUGCAAACACGAAAGUGGACGUAUACGGUGUGACGCCUGCCCGGUGCCGGAAGGUUAAUUGAUGGGGUUAGCGGCAACGCGAAGCUCUUGAUCGAAGCCCCGGUAAACGGCGGCCGUAACUAUAACGGUCCUAAGGUAGCGAAAUUCCUUGUCGGGUAAGUUCCGACCUGCACGAAUGGCGUAA